rnacentral:rRNA from 1 species
AUGGUGUGCCAGUUGUUCCGCCAGGGGCAUUGCUGGGUAGCUAAGUCUGGUUGGGAUAAGCGCUGAAAGCAUCUAAGUGCGAAGCCCAUCCCAAGAUUAUAUCUCCCAUCCCGGUGAUUUAUCAUCGGGAGUAAGACCGCAAGUAGACUACUUGUUUGAUAGGCGGUGAGUGUAAGAGCAGUAAUGUUUUGAGCUAAACCGUACUAAUGGUCGAGGGCUUGGCCUG